UUAUAGUACGUUGAAAAAAGGCAUAAAACAUAGUAUAGUAUGUUGAAAAAAGUGAUAAAAAAAUCCAUAGUAUAGUAGGUCGAAAAAAGUAAUACAAAAAUUCAUGAUAUAGUAUGUACUCAUAAAAAAGUAAGUAAUAGUAGUAGUAGUAUGUGUUAUGUCAAAAAAAAUUCAUGUAAAAGUCAUACAAAAUGUCUAAAAGUGUUGUUAUACAGUUAAACUGCAUUACAUAAAAGUGGAUGUACAUUUUUUGGGUGUAAAACCUUUAAAUAAAUUGUCUGUCGGGAUGAUUGAACCCAUGACCUGCGUUUCCUCAAACCAGAGUUCUAUCACACUGAGCUAACUCCUCCAAUACUAAAAGGCUUUUCUGUAAUUUCGUGCUGGGAGGUUGGUUGGGUGGCACUGAGAGUGUGCAAUAAUAGUCUCGACCAAGCGCGUUGUCAUGUUCAAGACCUGCUCGCUGCCAGUGUAUGUGCAAACACUUAGAUAGGACACACGUAGGAAGAGACAAAUGAAAAGUGUGAACAACAAAAUAAUAGUACCAACAGCUGAUACGUCAACAUCAGGGAUAGCUCACUGAGAUAAGCUACUAACUCAACAAUCUGAGUUUUUCAACUCUGAAAUGUGAACAAUAAAUACAACUUCCAACCAGUCUGGAGUAUCAGAUCAGAUAGCUCAGUGUGAUAAAGCACUGAUUAGAAAAACACAAGGUUGUGAGUUCAAUACUUGUGAGGAGCUCACCUUAUGAUGAGGUCAAACACCCAGGAAUACAAGGUCCUUCACCCAGGAGUCUGGGGUUCUUGUCCCAUGUGUCAUGGAAAAGUACUUUGCAAAACUCAACUGUCUGAGUCUCCAUAAAGAUGACGAGGACAGUUGGGAUUAGGAAAGUACUUAACCAUGACAGGUGGGACACGAACCCCAGUCUCCUGGGUGAAAGCCCCGUGUUGUCUUUAUGACACUUAGAGAAAAAAAUUCAUUGUUGCAGUUGGCAAAAGGUUAGGUGCGCACAACCCCUUCGGGGUUGUGCGCACCUUUUAAGACAGUUGGGGAAACCCUGGUGGCAGUCGGGGUACUUUACUACUCCCUGACUGCUACCAGGAUUUCUUCAGCUGCUGGUGGGCAGCAUCCCUACGGUAGGCACCACCCCUUCGGGGUGGUGCCUACCUUACCUUGCGCACAUCCUGCCGGGGCACGCUGGACGUGAACCCGGGUCUCCUGGGUGAAGGGCUGAUGCUUAUUCGACUCUGCCGCCACCUCAGCCGCCACCUCCAGCAACUACAGUACGCAGUUAAGACGAACUUUUGGGUUUAGGAAAGAAAGAAAUUUUCUGUGAAAUGCAGGAUACAAACCCUGGUCAGUCAGGGUGAUUGAACCCAUGACCUGUGUGUCCUCUAAACAGUGUUCCAUCACACUGAGCUAUCUGAUCUGAUACUCUGCCCUGGUUGGAAGUUGUAUUUGUUGUUCACAUUUAGCAGCAUAUAAAACAUCUUAAAAAGCAGUCAAAUAACAUGUUUGAAGAAGAUUAUGCAUUUUUGCAUUUAGUACUUUGAAUACAUCAAAUACAUUUUCCUGGUUGUACAUACUUUUAUUCAGGUAACAUUUCCAAUGCAGGACCUUUAUCUGUAACAGAGUAUUUCUACAGUAUGGUAUUAUAGUUCUGCUAAGUAAAGUAGUGUCUGAUAGUUAAACAUUACAUAUCUAAAAUUAAACUAUAACAAAUAUAAGAAAAUAAUACAUAUUAACAAUAUAAUAAAUUAAUAUAAAUGGUCUUCAAUAAAAGUUAGCAUAUUCAAACUAUUCAUUUGUACAGUCUGCCUUUAUAAAAGUAUUUUGUUUUGUUUGAGGAGACUGAUGUGUAAACACCAUACAUGAAGGGGUGAAGGUACGUCAUCGUGACGUAGGUUUUAUACAAGGAAGUGGAUGUGAGUGUGCUGGCUAACACAUUCUGGCUAGCUACGUAGCUUUAAUUUACAGCUUUUACGCAGCAUGUUAGCGGCACUUCUAGCGGUAAAUCUGACUCAAGCGUUUAAACAGCAACACCGUGUAAAAGUCUACCAACAACACACAACUCGUUACGUCACUUACUAAAUGGUGAGCCAGGAGCACGUGCAGGUGGAUAGCGAGUCUGGUAACUGAAGAGAACAUGUCUGCAAGUUAUCCCCAUAGACUGUAUAUAAGAAGGUUAUCCCCACCACUUUACUGGCACGCAGGAAGAGGAGACUUCCGAGAAGUUUACAAGCCGGCGGAGGACUCUUUCCUAUUGGUUGACGCCCUGGAGAAAGACGCAGAUAGGCUGCAGCUGAUGACGUCAGGCACAGCUCCGACCUGCCGAGGGCUUCAAACUUCAACCUAACAAACAUGGAACGGUCACUUAGAAAUCUGCUGAAAGGAUUACAGGAGCUGAUGAGAAGAAAUGUGUUCAGGAUAUCAUGUUUGACUGUCUGAGGAUUCUUUCAGAAUUCAACUGGUGUGAAUAAACUUUCUUAUUAAAGCUCUGCAGAACAAAGACACUUUUCUUUGCAAGAGAUUGGUGAAAGGAC